rnacentral:rRNA from 1 species
CCUACGGGAGGCAGCAGUGAGGAAUAUUGGUCAAUGGGCGAGAGCCUGAACCAGCCAAGUCGCGUGAAGGAUGACGGCCCUACGGGUUGUAAACUUCUUUUGUCAGGGAGCAAUUUGGUCCACGCGUGGGCUUAGCGAGAGUACCUGAAGAAAAAGCAUCGGCUAACUCCGUGCCAGCAGCCGCGGUAAUACGGAGGAUGCGAGCGUUAUCCGGAUUUAUUGGGUUUAAAGGGUGCGUAGGCGGAAUAUCAAGUCAGCGGUAAAAAUUCGGGGCUCAACCCCGUCGUGCCGUUGAAACUGAUGGUCUUGAGUGGGCGAGAAGUAUGCGGAAUGCGUGGUGUAGCGGUGAAAUGCAUAGAUAUCACGCAGAACUCCGAUUGCGAAGGCAGCAUACCGGCGCCCAACUGACGCUGAAGCACGAAAGCGUGGGUAUCGAACAGGAUUAGAUACCCCAGUAGUC